rnacentral:rRNA from 1 species
CCUACGGGCGGCUGCAGUGGGGAAUAUUGCACAAUGGGCGCAAGCCUGAUGCAGCCAUGCCGCGUGUAUGAAGAAGGCCUUCGGGUUGUAAAGUACUUUCAGUCGUGAGGAAGGUGUUAAGGUUAAUAACCUUAGCAAUUGACGUUAGCGACAGAAGAAGCACCGGCUAACUCCGUGCCAGCAGCCGCGGUAAUACGGAGGGUGCGAGCGUUAAUCGGAAUUACUGGGCGUAAAGGGCACGCAGGCGGUUAAUUAGGUUGGAUGUGGAAUCGCAGGGCUUAACCUGGGAAUGGCAUUCAGGACUGGGUAGCCAGAGUCUUGUAGAGGGGGGUAGAAUUCCAUGUGUAGCGGUGAAAUGCGUAGAGAUGUGAAGGAAUACCGGUGGCGAAGGCGGCCACCUGGACAAAGACUGACGCACAGGUGCGAAAGCGUGGGAAGCAGACAGGAUUAGAUACCCAUGUAGUC